GUGCUCGCUUCUGCAGCACAUAUACUAAAA
rnacentral:snRNA from 1 species